rnacentral:lncRNA from 1 species
UCGUCAUUGGCUGCUUCUCUUCGCCUCUUCGCCGCAGCGCGCGCGCGGAACGCGAAACGUGAAACACCGAACCGGAAUCGGACCGUAUCCUCAAUUUGCGCGCCUUUUUUCCCCCUCCUCUCCCACUAUCUCUCUUCCGCUCUUCUGUCGUGCCAUCUAUCUGCCUCUAUCUCGACUCGUUGGAAAAGAUGUCCGUUCCGUGUCCGCUCGUUCCGCCAUUUUGGAGCCGUCUCCUCCUGGGAUGAAUCGCGCUGUGGACGACCAAGUUUUCGUUUCCCCGUUCGUUUUUCUUUUCCUGUUAACGAGGACGUUUUGCACGGAGCUAUUGGAGACCCUAGUCGACUCGCCAACCGACAAAAUUCCAAUUACCAGUGAUAGACGAGGGAAUUGCACGCGCGAGAGCAAGUCGAGAAAUUACUCGAAUAGUUGCGCAUGUUCAUUUUAUUACAGUCGAAAAUCAAUUAGCUAGGUGAAGAUUAGCUAACCUCGUCUCACGAGCGAACUUGAAACCUCACAUAUAUAGUAUUUAUGUAUACGAUAAAGGGACUCGAAAUAUCGACGUCCUUCUCUCGCUGUUGGAGAUCUGGCAUGUUUUUGAAAGAAGGCGGCUAAUCACCGAUUAAGGCGAUCUUUCUUCCGAUGCGUUUCUCCCGGAACGAGCUCGCUGCUGGCGAUCAGGGGAAAUACAUCGAACGCACAUCUACAAUACUGAUCGAGUUGCACUGUUGCUCGCCGAUGCAAAAAGGGAGGCAAUCAAUCAUGGCGCGUAUAAUCCAAUUCCGUCUGCCAGUUUAUCGAUAGUGCAAGAGGGGACAACGAAAAUCGUGGCAAAAACGCUCCGAGCGAAGAUAGGAAUUUAUGACAAAUCGACAAAUUUUUUCAGAACAUAUGCUCCAUCCAGGAUGACGAUCUUUUCCUCGUCUAGAAAGGAAAGGAAAAGCUGCUUAUUGUAAAAAUAAGUAAAGUCGGUUUUGUCAAUUUAAUUGCGGUUGUGUAAGAAAUCCGACAUUUAAGAUAUUAUCGAUAACACGCGAGACAACAUCGGAGAACUUUUGUCAACAUUCGUCAGGAUGACGUCUACACAGUUUGGUUGGUUAGUCAGAAGGUAUGGAUGAAGGGUGAGUGACUGAUGCAAACAGAGCCUGAUUUACAGGGAUUUGCUUGACUUUUGCGUUGAUGAAAAAUCUCCAUGGAUUCUCGUCGCGGUCAUUUAAUACGUAAACAGCUAUAUAAUGAAGCAACGCAAUGGAUUUUCAAGAAUCGUUAUUGGGCUCACGUUGGCGAUUGUGUAAAAUAUUAUCAGACUUAUCAUGAUAAACGUUCGAGAAAAUUUUUGUUUAACUCUUAACUAUGGACACACACGCAUUACACAGUGAUGGAUGUGGAAUUCUUGAAACCCCUACAUUUAGAAUAUUUAGAUAUUGAAAAAAAUAGAAAUAAAAAUUGUAUUCCGCAUGUGAUUGUAUCUGUUGUGUUUUUAAACAUUAAUCGUUAGUUUUGCUUUUCUAGAAAAAGAACACAACUGAAUUACACAAAGCGAGUGGCAGAUGUCCCAGAAACUCCUCUUUUCUCUACAUUUAGUUGAAAGUUAACGUAAUGAGAUUUUUAUAAUUUUAGUAACAUUUGUUUGAAACUAGAUAUAAUUCUGUGUAAUGCAGUCGUUGAGAUUUGUCACAUGUCUGAAAACUUUUAGAGUUGUAAAGUGUAUGUACUGGUGAAGUACCUAACGAUGCAUUUGCUUAGCUCGUCGAACAUUGCAGAUCGCGAAACUAUUCAGGGCAACUGUUUCAACGGCCACUGCGAGGAGUUUGGGUAGAAAUUAAUGGAAUCCUUGGCAGGAUGUAACAUGGCACACAGACAUUCUACGUGUUAUAUAUCGGUGACAUGUUUGUAAGAUAGAAAAGCAUUCCUUCGAACGGUGGUCUUUGAUUACUGGCGCACGCGAUGAAAAAAUCAAAUACGUCUCGUCAAGUUCAUAUGGGAUGCUUUUUUAUAUAUAUUCUUUUUAAAAAAUAUAUAACAAGUAAUUUUUCUACGUUCAAAAGAAUUAUUGUUUUACA